AAAAGGAAAAAAUGACAGUCACCUGACAGUGUGGUGCCCAGCCAACCAGCUAUACCUCUUUUGAAGAUUUUAAGAACUUAGCCUCCUGAACAGUCUUCUUCGAAAGUGAAAAGUGGUAACAGCUGAUGAGUAUCAAGAAAUUAUUUUCUGCAAAGGGGCAGAGUUAAUUGUAUUUGGAACCCAUGACAGCACCUACUGGGGAAAGACUUUAAGUGAGGAGAAACGGCUCUACAGAUUCAGGAUGACUUCAGAGGUGGAAAAAUUAACCUAGAAAAAACUCAGAGGUUACUUGAAAAAUUAGAUAUUCGGUGCAGUUAUAUUCAUGUGAAACAGAUUUUUAAGCCCUCAAGUUUACAAACCACAAAGAGGAGGUUAAAAAAGAAAAGUUGUGCUUCUCAGGAGACCCCGGUGAAAACCAAAGUUGCAGAACUGUGUCUCUGAAUCCAAGCAGUGCAUGUGGCCAUAAGUAGGACAAUGACAGGCUGAAACAAGGAAGAAUCACCAUAGAAGAAUUUAGAGCAAUUUAUCGAAUUAUCACGCACAGAGAAGAAAUUA
rnacentral:sRNA from 1 species